rnacentral:tRNA from 2 species
GCCGUCGUAGCUCAGCUGGUAGAGCAUCUCCAUGGUAAGGAGAAGGUCCCCGGUUCGAUCCCGGGCGACGGCUCCA